CAACGGCUUGACGAUAAGAAAGCUGUCUCUCUUUACUAAAUUCUGAAGUUAGCUGGAUAGUGAAGAGACUCUCUUAGCAAAGCGGGACGAGAAGACCCCGUUGAGCUUUAGUAAAAAUUGUUUAUUAAAAACUUGAUUACUUGAGUUGGGGCAACUAUCUUUCUUUUUUAAAACAAAGAUAAAAAUGUUUUGAGUUGAUUCUUUUAUGACCCUUAAUCUUAGGAAUAGUAGAAAAAGUUACCACGGGGAUAACAGCGUAAUUUUUUUUGAGAGUUCUUAUUGACAAAAAAGUUUGCGACCUCGAUGUUG
rnacentral:rRNA from 1 species